rnacentral:misc_RNA from 1 species
UUGACUUAUUGUAUAAGUUACUCAGAGAGGCCAAUGAUGCAAGAGUUUCAGGCUUCUGACGGGUUACCGGGUCCCCGAGGGGAGCUGGCGCGGCCUGGGUUUCCCCGGGCCACCCGCCGAAGCAACGGUGAGGUAGAUUCACAAUGGUUGGGAGUUUUGCAACUCUGUAAUGAUCCCUCCGCUGGUUCACCAACGGAGA